rnacentral:lncRNA from 1 species
CCCCCAACUUCGGUCCCGCUGCGCCCCUUUCCUGGACUCCGGACUCAUCUCUAUCAGGAAUCCCAACUGCAGGGAAGCGGAGGCGAGGCCUGGCGCGCGCUUCAGCACCGCGGACAACGACUCCCCUUCAUGCUUCAGCUUAGGCAUCUCCCAGCGCUCAGAGCUCAGCGCCGCCCGCCUGCCCGGGAGUCUUCGUUGACACUGGCGUCCCAACCCGAUUUGUCUCCCGCUAUAAAAUAAGCCGCCCUUCGAGAGGAGAGCUCCUGGUAGUCCUAUUUCUACUUUCCAAGUCGUGUGUGGAGCUAUCUACAGCUAGGCUGCUGUAGACCCGGACCACAAUUCUUGAUACUUGUCAACAUUUGACCUUUCCAUUUUCCUUGGGAGGUAGGCAGGCAGGCAGGAAGUAACAUUCCCUUUUACAGAUGAGAAAGGUGAGGCCAAGAGAACAAAAGUCACAUAGUUGGUACACUUCCAUUCCUGACUGAACUGGGGCAGGGCAUCUCCAAAUACAAAUGCUUCCCCCACCCAAUCUCAUUCAAAUAGCCAAGUGGGGAAGGGAUGGUUUCACUAAGGGUGAGAACCCAUUAAAGCUG